rnacentral:rRNA from 1 species
UGGGGAAUAUUGGACAAUGGGCGAAAGCCUGAUCCAGCCAUGCCGCGUGUGUGAAGAAGGUCUUCGGAUUGUAAAGCACUUUAAGUUGGGAGGAAGGGCAGUAAGCGAAUACCUUGCUGUUUUGACGUUACCGACAGAAUAAGCACCGGCUAACUCUGUGCCAGCAGCCGCGGUAAUACAGAGGGUGCGAGCGUUAAUCGGAUUUACUGGGCGUAAAGCGUGCGUAGGCGGCUAAUUGAGUCGGAUGUGAAAUCCCCGAGCUUAACUUGGGAAUUGCAUUCGAUACUGGUUAGCUAGAGUAGGGCAGAGGGUGGUGGAAUUUCCUGUGUAGCGGUGAAAUGCGUAGAUAUAGGAAGGAACACCAGUGGCGAAGGCGACCACCUGGGCUCAUACUGACACUGAGGUGCGAAAGCGUGGGGAGCAAACAGG